rnacentral:miRNA from 1 species
CACUCGCUUUGGAAGUCAUGG